AGCCUAACACAUGCAAGUCGAACGGCAGCACAGGAGAGCUUGCUCUCUGGGUGGCGAGUGGCGGACGGGUGAGGAAUACAUCGGAAUCUACUUUUUCGUGGGGGAUAACGUAGGGAAACUUACGCUAAUACCGCAUACGACCUACGGGUGAAAGCAGGGGGAUCUUCGGACCUUGCGCGAUUGAAUGAGCCGAUGUCGGAUUAGCUAGUUGGCGGGGUAAAGGCCCACCAAGGCGACGAUCCGUANCUGGUCUGAGAGGAUGAUCAGCCACACUGGAACUGAGACACGGUCCAGACUCCUACGGGAGGCAAGCAGUGGGGAAUAUUGGACAAUGGGCGCAAGCCUGAUCCAGCCAUACCGCUGUGGGUGAAGAAAGUGCCUUCGGGUUGUAAAGCCCUUUAUGUAGGGAAAGAAAUCCAGCUGGCGUAAUACCAAGGUUGGGAUGACGGUACCCAAAGAAUAAGCACCGGCAUAAACUUCGUGCCAGNCAGACGCGGUAAUAAGAAGGGUGCAAGCGUUACUCGGAAUUACUGGGCGUAA
rnacentral:rRNA from 1 species